rnacentral:sRNA from 1 species
GCUUGUCUAUAAAUUAGCCAAAGCUAGAAAGUUAGCUUCUUUUUUAUCAGCUCCAUUUCGUUGCGUUACUAUUAAGUUCGUCGUCCUGUAGUUUUUAAAUUUUUGUCUUUUUUUUGCGCUAAUAUCGUUUGUCGUCUUAAUAAGAUGCAAGCAAAUCUAAUUUUUUUUACAGGAUAAUUAUUAUGUCUAACAAAACGACUGGUACAGUUAAGUGGUUCAACGAAUCUAAAGGUUUCGGUUUCAUCGAGCAAGAGUCUGGUCCAGAUGUAUUCGCACACUUCAGUGCAAUCACUGGUUCUGGCUUCAAAACACUUGCUGAAGGCCAAAAAGUUGAGUUCACAGUAGGUCAAGGCCCUAAAGGUCCUCAGGCUGAAGACAUCGUAGCGCUAUAAUUUCAAUAGCCGCUAGACAGAAAGCAAGCUUUUAAGCUUGCUUUUUUUG